rnacentral:rRNA from 1 species
UACGUAGGGCGCAAGCGUUAUCCGGAAUUAUUGGGCGUAAAGAGCUCGUAGGCGGUUUGUCGCGUCUGCCGUGAAAGUCCGGGGCUCAACUCCGGAUCUGCGGUGGGUACGGGCAGACUAGAGUGAUGUAGGGGAGACUGGAAUUCCUGGUGUAGCGGUGAAAUGCGCAGAUAUCAGGAGGAACACCGAUGGCGAAGGCAGGUCUCUGGGCAUUAACUGACGCUGAGGAGCGAAAGCAUGGGGGAGCGAACAGGA